GAUUUGCAUCAAAUUUGUUUAAUUAUCUAAAGUAAUGGAGGAAGAUAAUGAAUCAGUUAUCGUGCAAGUGUUGGAUCGCAGGGUAAAUGUUGGAACAACAUUUCCCCUAUCACCAACGAUGUCCUGUAAACCAUAGCGCGACCAAAACAAACUUUGUGACACAAUAGGCGAUGAAAUGGUAAGGGUAGCAUGAAUGCUCACAUCAGCUGCGUACACAUUAAAAGCAUCUAUUUCUAUUGGACUUGAAUGAUCUCUAUCACCAAAUUUGAAUGCAAUGAUACAUAUAUUAAAAUUUUCAAUUCUGUGCAUCUUUUGAAGACUUUUGUCGAGGGUGUUCAAAA